UACGGGGGGGGCAAGCGUUGUUCGGAAUUACUGGGCGUAAAGGGCGCGUAGGCGGCCUGCUAAGUCGGACGUGAAAUCCCUCGGCUCAACCGGGGAACUGCGUCCGAUACUGGUGGGCUCGAAUCCGGGAGAGGGAUGUGGAAUUCCAGGUGUAGCGGUGAAAUGCGUAGAUAUCUGGAGGAACACCGGUGGCGAAGGCGGCAUCCUGGACCGGUAUUGACGCUGAUGCGCGAAAGCCAGGGAGCAAACGGG
rnacentral:rRNA from 1 species